rnacentral:rRNA from 1 species
GACGAACGCUGGCGGCGUGCUUAACACAUGCAAGUCGAACGGAAAGGCCCUGCUUUUGUGGGGUGCUCGAGUGGCGAACGGGUGAGUAACACGUGAGUAACCUGCCCUUGACUUUGGGAUAACUUCAGGAAACUGGGGCUAAUACCGGAUAGGAGCUCCUGCUGCAUGGUGGGGGUUGGAAAGUUUCGGCGGUUGGGGAUGGAAUCGCGGCUUAUCAGCUUGUUGGUGGGGUAGUGGCUUACCAAGGCUUUGACGGGUAGCCGGCCUGAGAGGGUGACCGGCCACAUUGGGACUGAGAUACGGCGCAGACGCCUACGGGAGGCAGCAGUGGGGAAUAUUGCACAAUGGGCGGAAGCCUGAUGCAGCAACGCCGCGUGCGGGAUGACGGCCUUCGGGUUGUAAACCGCUUUCGCCUGUGACGAAGCGUGAGUGACGGUAAUGGGUAAAGAAGCACCGGCUAACUACGUG